AUAGCGUAUAUUAAAGUUGUUGCAGUUAAAAAGCUCGUAGUUGAAUUUUUGAUCUGGCCAAGGUGUCGGCCGCAAGGUCUGUACUUCUUGGCUGGAUCUUUCCUUCUGGAGAGCCAUUAUGCCAUUUAUUUGGUGUUUUGGGGAUCCAGGACUUUUACCUUGAAAAAAUUAGAGUGUUUAAAGCAGGCAUACGCUUGAAUACAUUAGCAUGGAAUAAUAGAAUAGGACUUUGGUUCUAUUUUGUUGGUUUCUAGGACCGAAGUAAUGAUUAAUAGGGACAGUUGGGGACAUUAGUAUUUCAAAGUCAGAGGUGAAAUUCUUGGAUUUUUGAAAGACUAACUUCUG
rnacentral:rRNA from 1 species